GGUUAAUGGUGCUUUGUAAGCUGAGAAAGAAAGGAAAGAGAAAAUUGAUAGAAUAAUUACCUUUCUUGCUCCUCAUAUAUAAGCUAGCUUAACUACUUUAUGAUCAUAGAGAUGUGCAACAACGUGAUUCAUGCAAAGGUUUUGUUAUACGAUUUUCUAUGUAUGAGGAAAGCAGGAGUUUGAGAUUGUUUUACUUUUCUUUAUCGAGGUGUCUGCAAGUUACAGUGGUUAGUUUGAUUACUUCUACAUUCAUGCACACCCUACUUUGUUCGAUGGCGCGUCUGAUGCUGGAAUGAUCAUGUUUACUGUUUUUGACAUUUCUUGUUAAAUUUGCUGCUUGAUGAUUUAUUUCUCU